rnacentral:rRNA from 1 species
AGAGUUUGAUCCUGGCUCAGGAUAAACGCUGGCGGCGCACAUAAGACAUGCAAGUCGAACGAACUUAAUUGAGAGCUUGCUCUCAAAGCGGUUAGUGGCGGACUGGUGAGUAACACGUAAGCAACCUGCCUAUUAGAGGGGAAUAACAGCGAGAAAUCGUUGCUAAUACCGCAUAUGCUGUGAGUAUCGCAUGAUACAAGCAGGAAAGGAGCAAUCCGCUAAUAGAUGGGCUUGCGUCUGAUUAGUUAGUUGGUGGGGUAACGGCCUACCAAGACGAUGAUCAGUAGCCGGUCUGAGAGGAUGAACGGCCACAUUGGGACUGAGAUACGGCCCAGACUCCUACGGGAGGCAGCAGUCGGGAAUAUUGCGCAAUGGAGGAAACUCUGACGCAGUGACGCCGCGUGCAGGAAGAAGGUUUUCGGAUUGUAAACUGCUUUUAACAGGAAAGAAAAAAAUGACGGUACCUGUUGAAUAAGCUCCGGCUAACUACGUGCCAGCAGCCGCGGUAAUACGUAGGGAGCGAGCGUUAUCCGGAUUUAUUGGGUGUAAAGGGUGCGUAGACGGAAAUGCAAGUUAGUUGUGAAAUACCUCGGCUUAACUGAGGAACUGCAACUAAAACUAUAUUUCUUGAGUAUCGGAGGGGUUUGUGGAAUUCCUAGUGUAGCGGUGAAAUGCGUAGAUAUUAGGAAGAACACCGGUGGCGAAGGCGGCCUGCUGGACGAAAACUGACGUUGAGGCUCGAAGGCGUGGGGAGCAAACAGGAUUAGAUACCCUGGUAGUCCACGCGGUAAACGAUGAAUACUAGGUGUUGGUGCCCCAAGGGCAUCGGUGCCGUCGCAAACGCAAUAAGUAUUCCACCUGGGGAGUACGUUCGCAAGAAUGAAACUCAAAGGAAUUGACGGGGACCCGCACAAGCGGUGGAGCAUGUGGUUUAA